AUGGUUAAGCUAAAUCAAGAAGUUAGGAAAAUAAAAUAAAAUAAAAUGAUAAUUAUAUAAAAUAAAACAAUAGAAUUCAAAAUUGUCAAUGUUAAGGAUCAAACCUAUCACCUGGUGGAAAACAACUGCUGCCUCAACCACCAGGCCAAGAAUAGUCAACUGGAAACCAAACGCACCAAGUGAUAUAAGACAUGAAACUUAAAUGGAAGUUUUUUUAAAAAAUGAAAACAAAGGGAAAACGAGCCAUG
rnacentral:lncRNA from 1 species